GACGAACGCUGGCGGCGUGCUUAACACAUGCAAGUCGAACGGUAAGGCUCCAGCUUGCUGGGGUACACGAGUGGCGAACGGGUGAGUAACACGUGGGUGACCUGCCCUGCACUUCGGGAUAAGCCUGGGAAACUGGGUCUAAUACCGGAUAGGACCGCACCGUGAGGGUGUGGUGGAAAGUUUUUUCGGUGUGGGAUGGGCCCGCGGCCUAUCAGCUUGUUGGUGGGGUAAUGGCCUACCAAGGCGGCGACGGGUAGCCGGCCUGAGAGGGUGGACGGCCAAAUGGGGAGUGAGACACGCCCCAGACUCCUAGGGGGGGCAGCAGGGGGAAAUAUUGCAAAAGGGGGGGAAGCCUGAUGCAGGGACCCCGGGGGGGGGAUGGCGCCCUUGGGGUUGAAAACUCCUUUCCCCAUCGAGGAAGGGUUUCGGGCGGUAGAGGGAGAAGAGGCCCCGGCAAACUACG
rnacentral:rRNA from 1 species